CCCGGGCUCAACCUGGGAACUGCAUUCGAAACUGGCAGGCUAGAGUCUUGUAGAGGGGGGUAGAAUUCCAGGUGUAGCGGUGAAAUGCGUAGAGAUCUGGAGGAAUACCGGUGGCGAAGGCGGCCCCCUGGACAAAGACUGACGCUCAGGUGCGAAAGCGUGGGGAGCAAACAGGAUUAGAUACCCUGGUAGUCCACGCUGUAAACGAUGUCGAUUUGGAGGUUGUGCCCUUGAGGCGUGGCUUCCGGAGCUAACGCGUUAAAUCGACCGCCUGGGGAGUACGGCCGCAAGGUUAAAACUCAAAUGAAUUGACGGGGGCCCGCACAAGCGGUGGAGCAUGUGGUUUAAUUCGAUGCAACGCGAAGAACCUUACCUGGUCUUGACAUCCACAGAACUUUCCAGAGAUGGAUUGGUG
rnacentral:rRNA from 1 species